rnacentral:tRNA from 1 species
GCGCGUGUAGCUCAGUGGUAGAGCGCGUCGCUGAUAACGACGAGGUCCUUGGUCCGAUUCCAAGUACGCGCA